rnacentral:rRNA from 1 species
UGGGGAAUUUUGGACAAUGGGCGAAAGCCUGAUCCAGCAAUGCCGCGUGUGUGAAGAAGGCCUUCGGGUUGUAAAGCACUUUUGUCCGGAAAGAAAUCCUUGGCUCUAAUACAGUCGGGGGAUGACGGUACCGGAAGAAUAAGCACCGGCUAACUACGUGCCAGCAGCCGCGGUAAUACGUAGGGUGCAAGCGUUAUCGGAAUUACUGGGCGUAAAGCGUGCGCAGGCGGUUUGCUAAGACCGAUGUGAAAUCCCCCGGGGCUAACCUGGGAACUGCAUUGGUGACUGGCAGGCUAGAGUAUGGCAGAGGGGGGUAGAAUUCCACGUGUAGCAGUGAAAUGCGUAGAGAUGUGGAGGAAUACCGAUGGCGAAGGCAGCCCCCUGGGCCAAUACUGACGCUCAUGCACGAAAGCGUGGGGAGCAAAACAGGAUUAGAUACCCUGGUAGUCCACGCCCUAAAACGAUGUCAACUAGUUGUUGGGGAUUCAUUUCC